CCCAAGUUUUUUGAAAAUAGUCCGAACCAGUACCCGUACCAGCACCCGUACCGGCACCUAUACCUAUGUGACAUAGACCUCAACUAUAAGCACAAAGGAUUGACCCAACCCUUCACCAAAAAAUAAGGACAAACAUAUCCUACAGUUAGUGCAUAUACAUUAUCAAGUCAGCAAAAUAAUCAUGAGGAUCACUAGCAUGUUCCAUAAUCAAACGACCUAUCUCCAUAGUUGUAGCCCCCUGCUCUACAAAAAUACGCAUGUGAGAAUGAUGAAGACACCCAAUCCAGUUAGAAUGUAGUCUUCUUCCUUCUAGUUGCUGUCUAGUUUUCCUUACUCAAUCUUUGAUGGGGGAGACAAUAAUAUAGUCACCACCAUAAUCCCUAUGAAAGCUGAGAAUGCGAUCCAAGACAGCCAUUUCUCCUUCGUGCAUCCUACCCAGUAUUGUACGUAUCGUACGAUACGACCCCGUAUCGUUUUUAAAUAACGGUACGAUACACCCCCCAUAUCGUAAAUAAGGGUGUAUCGUUCCUGUAUUGCACGUAUCGUGCGAUAUAGGUCCCGUAUCGUACGAUAGGGGGCGAUACAGCCUGUAUCGUACGAUACGGGCUGAUUUCGCAAAAGGGGGCUCGAGACCUACUUAUUCGGCUUCCUUUUGAAAAAAAGCCUCCGUUCAUUUUUCAAGCUCGGAUACUGCCGUCAUGGAGGGCGAUCGUCCAUUUUCACCAUCAAAAAAGUUGAUUUUAAUCGUGAAAUCGAAGAUUAAGGGGUCGAUUUGUGCGUGGGUGGUUGAUUUUCGUUGGGAGGAAAGGGGUUUUCUUCAUUUCUUCUUCGUAAGGUAUAAAAUCUCAUGCUUUUACCAUGUAUUCAUAAUUUUUUACCGUAUAAUCGUAGAUUGAUAAAUUUUGAGUGUUUUUCAUUAAGUUUACCAUAGGAUUUCGUUUUUUUUUUUUUUUUUGAAGUUAUGGAUCCCACAUGGCAAUGGUGCGAAAGGGUGAAGGAGAAUAACCGCUUGAAACUCAAAUGUAGCUUCUGUGGGAAUAUAUUUUCAGGAGGGAUUAGUAGAAUGAAACACCAUUUGGCAGGGACCUCCAAAGAUGCGUCUCCUUGUGUUAGAGGACCAAACAAACCUUUGCCUCCAUAUGUGCGUCAGCAAUGUUUAGAUAUGCUUCAUGCUUUACAUCAAAAGAGGAUACAGAAAGAAAUUGAAGAGGCAGAUGUAGGCUAUAAUGAGCCUUUGGAAGAUGAAGAAGAAGAGGAAGAAGCUUAUGAAUGAAGAUGAUACCAUUCUAAGAACAGAUUUGGAGACCUCAAGAGGUAGAGAUCGCAGAGGAAAAGGGAUCAUGUAUGAAGGAGGUCGAUCUGGCGUAACGGGAAGGAAGAGAAGAGGCACAACAGAUAGGGCCAGGCGUGGUAUGCGACCACCUAGUGGUAGAGUUCGUACUGAUAGGUCUAGUGUUGGCUCUAUUAUGAGUUUUUUCCGUUCAUAUACUAGCCCAGGUGGUCAGCCGCAGAUUACUGCUAUGACAUCUAAAGAUAUGCUAUAUCAAGCACAAAAGAUGGUAGGAAAAUGGUUUUAUGAUGCAUGUAUUCCAUUUAAUGCAGCUAAUUCUUUUCAAUUCCAAGUCAUGGCAGAUGCAAUUGCUUCUAUAGGCCCCAGAUUCAAAAUGCCAUCAUAUCAUCAGUUGAGGGGUAAAAUUCUUCAAGAUACAGUGAAAGAAGUGUCUGAACAUUGCGAUAAAUUGAAAUUAUCUUGGAAUGAAACAGGUUGCUCCAUUAUGUCAGAUGGAUGGACUGAUACAAAUCAUACAAGGUCAAGAACACUUGUAAAUUUUCUUGUUUAUUGCCUUAAAUGUACAAUCUUCUUGAAAUCUCUUGAUUUGUCUGAUGUUCCUAAAACUGCUGAGAUUUUGUUCAAUGUUUUUGAUAAUAUCGUACAAGAAGUUGGAUCUGCAAACAUUGUACAGUUUAUUAUAGAUAAUGCUGCAAAUUAUAGAGCUGCAGGAGAUUUGUUAUUUCAAAAGUAUGGAACAUUCUUUUGGAGUCCAUGUGCCACUCAUUGUGUUAAUCUUAUGCUUCAAGAUCUUAAUGAGAUGCAUGAUAUGAAAUCAGCCAUUGACCAAUGUCAAGAGGUAACAAAAUUUAUCUAUAAUCAUGCAUAUGUAUUGAGUUUGAUGAGAAAGUUUACAAAAGGAGUUGAAUUGAUACGACCUGCACAAACUAGAUUUGCCACAAAUGUAUUGACUGUGUAGAGUGUGGUGAAACAAAGAACUCCUUUGAGGCAGAUGUUCGCUAGUGAAGAAUGAGCUGCAUAUCCACAUGUUCAUAAAAGAAAUGCUUCUUUAGUUGUGAAUAUCAUAUGUAAUAACGAAUUUUGGGAAUCAUGUGUGAAGCUAUUGAAAGUUUGUGUUCCAUUAGUGAAAAUCCUCAGGUUAGCUGAUAGCGAGGAUAGGCCUUCCAUAGGGUACUUAUAUGAGGUAAUAGAUAAAGCAAAAGAGGCAAUUCGAGACAACUUAAAAGGAUAGAAAAAGUUAUAUAUGCCCAUAUGGAAGAUGAUAGAUAAAAGGUGGACUGGACAGCUUCAUUAACCUCUUCAUGCAGCAGCUUACUAUCUAAAUCAUGCAAUUAGAUUUUUUCCUACAUUUAAGAAGGACAGAGAAGUCUUAAGUGGUUUGUUUGAUUGUGUUAACGUGUUAGUGGCAGAUUCUAGAGAACAAAAUGUCGUCAGCAAUGAGUUAGAUCUAUAUGAUACUUGUUAUCGGGGCAUGGGACAACCAUGCGUCCAGGUAAAUACAUAGAAAUGUUUAAUUUACUUUGCAUUUGUUACAUUUGAUUCUUUUAGAACUUUCACAUUGAUUUGUUAUAACGUUAUAUUUUUGUUUAGAUUUGUGGUGGAAUAGGUAUGAGUUUGAUUGUACAAACCUAGCACGUUUUGCAAUCAAAGUCCUCAGCCAGACAUGCAGUGCUAGUGGAUGCAAAGGAACUGGAGUGUGUUCCAACAUAUCCAUAGCAAAAAAAGGAAUGAGCUCGAACAUAAAAGGUUGAAUGACCUUGUCUUUGUUCGAUAUAAUAUGAGGUUGAAACAAAGAGAAUUACAAAAAACAUAAGCAAGGAAGCACACAUUUUAGUUCGAUCCUAUCAGCUUAGAAAACUUUGACGAUCUGGAGCCAUGGAUUGAGGAAGAACCAGCUACAAUAUUUGAUGAUGAAGAUAUUGAAUGCCUCAACCUUGAAGCUGAAGCAACAGAAGGCUUUGUUGAUGAAGGAGAGUCUGCUAGUGCUACUGCUGGUGCUGAAUAUGUUGGUGAGGAUCUUCCAAUUCUUGACGAUGAAGAUGAAGAAGAAGAUGAUGAAGAUUAUGAAUGAUGAAUCAUUAUAUGUAUCGAACCACUUAAGAGUUAUCUAUGGUUGUUGAACACUUGAAUGUUGUAUGACUUUAUCACUUUAUGACUUAUGGUUUGUUGAUUGAAAUUGAAUGAUAUUGUUAUGAAUUUUGAUGUCUAUGAAGUAUGAAUGAUGAACCGUGAACGCGUAAGUUUAUAGCAUUUAGCAAUAAUAAGUUUAUCAUUAUCUAAAACAUGUUUUCUAUGAAGAAUUUAUUAUUUUUAAUUUUUUCUGAUUUUUUUAUGAAUUUUUCAAUUUUUUUAUUUUUUCUGAUUUAUUAUUAUUAUUUUAAAAAAAUUUACGAUACGGUUACGAUACGGCGUAUCUUAAAGCCCGACCGAUACGCCUUACGAUACGCGUUUUACAACAUUGAUCCUACCACGUGCGUUGAUAAUGGCCACACAGCCCAUUUGGCCAUUUUCCACAUAGCUUAAACCAGCAACCGUGCCUAGUAAAGACACUAACAAUGUUGCCUCUCUAUUAGAUCCAAUGGUGUGCACAGUAUGGAGACCAGUCUCCAUCCAAAUUCUCAGCUUAAUAUCAUCCUCAGUAGUCCACUUGAUGGAGGAGAAGCUGUCUAUGCAACUCUCCUCCAAACAUCUCUCUUGAAUCUACCAACCUGUAGUUGAAGACUGUCAUGGAGACAUCUAUUACGAAGACACCACAAAUUCCAACAAACACUAGUGACAUCUUUUACAAUCGAUCGACAUUAGCGGAAAGAGAGAAGCUCUGCGCACGGAGGUCGAGCGGAGAAGGGGUCACAGAUAGUAGCCCCCGGCAUUUGCCAGGGGGAUGGAGAUGAGAGGGGUAGAGGAUGUGGAAGUCAAGGGUGAAGCAAGGUUGAGGUCGAGUGGAGAAAGAAAUGCACGAAGGUCGUGUGGAAAAGGGGGGAAUCAGAUGGAAACCCUUGUCGAUUGCCAGAGGAAUGGAGAUGAAUGGGCAGAUGGACUUGGAUGAUAGAGUCGAGUUCCCUGUGUUGGGGAAAUCUGCUGAUAGUCACACUAGUGACAUUCUCUGCUCGACCUCCGUGCAUGUUCAUUUUAUCAUGCACAACUUGCUCUUGGGAAACCAAAAUUGAUGACUAGUCAAACCCUUUGUAAGCAAAUCAACAACUUGAUUAUCGCUCUAAAUGUAACAUGGCUCAAUCUCCUUGUCCUCAACCUUUUGACGAAUGAAGUGUUGAUCGAUCUCAAUGUGCUUCGUCCUACUAUGAAAAAUGAGAUUAAAACCUAUGUUGAUGGCACUUUGAUUGUCACACAAUAGGGAUGAUCAAAUAAUAGGCUCUCCUAAUUCGCUCAAUAAAUUUUUCAUCCAUGUAGCUUUCGCGGUCUCUUCUGCCAUAGACUUAUAUUCAGCUUAUGUACUAGAUUGGGCUAUGACAUUUUCUUUUUGACUACUCUAAGUAACGAGAUUUCUUCCAAUAAAAAUACAAUAGCCUGAAACUGAUCUCCUCUCAUCUGGAUCUCCUGCCCAAGUUUGCAUUUGUGUAUGUAAUUAGCUCAUGCCUUUUACAAUAAGAAUCACUCUUGCAAUAGACAAGGCCAUCUCCAAUUGUGCCUUUCAGAUUCCUUAAGAUUUGUUUAAUAACAUCGAUAUGACUGUUUUAAGGAGCAUGCAUAAAUUAUGAUACUUGAUCAUAGAAUAUACAAUAUCUGGCCGAGUGAAGGUAUGAUAUUGUUACAUGUCAACAAUGUUGCUAUAGCUUGUAGGAUCAUGAUAUAGAUUCAUUUCCUUCAAGCUCAACUUUUGAUUUAAUACACUAGGAGUACUAACAAGUCUAGAAUCUGUCAUGCCUGUCUUGCUCAAAAGAUCCAGAGUUAUUUCUGUUGUGUCAAUGUCAAGGUAUCUUGUUGUCUAUCAACCUCCACACCAAGAAAAUAUCUUAACUUUCCUAAAUCUUUCAUUUGAAACUCUUCAUCAAAAUAUUCUUUACUUCACAAAUAUGGCUGUCACAAUUUCUAGUGAUAACAAUAUCAUCAACAUCAACAUAUAUGAGAUACCAAGUAGAGAUGUUCUUGCUGUGAUAAAUAAAGAGAGAAUGGUCAAGAGUACUUUUAUGGAAACCACAGAAAUUUGUUGGAAAAAACUAUCAAACCAUGACCGAGAAGCUUGCUUUAAACCAUAAAGGGACUUGCGAAGCUGACAUACCCAAUUUGCAGCAUCUUUCUCUACAUACCCUGACAGUUAUUCCAUGUAUACCUCUUCUUUCAAGUCUCCAUGCAAGAAUACAUCCAGUUUGCUAAGCUUCCAACCAUUAUCAACUGCCAAAGAGAUGACGAUGCAAAUUGUGCCCAUUUUCACCACGGAUUGAAGGUCUCAUCAUAGUCUUGUCCAAACUGUUGUGUAAAUCAUCUAGCUACCAACCUCGCUUUAUACUUAUCAAUGCUUUCAUAUGGUUUGUGUUUGACUUUAUAAACCUACUUGGAGCCAACUACAUUCUUCCCUGAGGCCUUGGAACAAUUUCUCAAGUCUUGCAUUCAUAGGGUGCCUCCAUCUCUUCAUUUAAUAGGUUCUACCCAUUGACGAGUUUUGGAGGCUUGAUUGUAAGAAAUAGCCAAAUAGGUUCUUCAUGUUUAGUAGUUUAAGCCAUGAAUAAUUGAAAGUCCAGAGAAAAUUUUUUAUAACUAACCCAGCAAUCAAUGGGAUGACGAAUGUAUUCUAGUCUUCUUAUAGACUCUCUGGUUCCUUCAUGACUUGUGUCCCGAUCUCUUUUAUAAUUGACAAAACCAGAAAACCGCUAAGGAGCAGCUUGUUCCACGUUAUAACCAUCAUUUGGCUCGGGUAAAUCUACAUUAUAAUCAUCACUGGAUUGAACCAUUUCUAACUGUGCAUUUACAAGAGGACAAGACAAGAGAAUGUGCAUGACUGACUUUCUCUCCACAAGAGUUCUGUCUUCAACCACGGGUUGUAGAUUUCCUUCUGCAGCGAGAUUGAAUCAAUGGGCUCACAUUUCUUAUCAAACUCAUACUCAUCAAAUACCACAUUUCGUGAAGUUCGUAUUCUCUUGCUGCUGGGAUCAUAACAUCUAUAUCCCUUAUAAUCAUCGGCAUAUCUGACAAACUUGCACUUCAAAGCUUUAUCCUAAAACUUAUUUCUCAAAGAAGAAUAUAUGUGAACAUAACAAACAUAACCCAACACAUGAAGGGUCAUUAUAUGCAGGAUGUUGACCAUAAAGAACAUAAUAAGGAGACUUAUUUUCCAAACUACUCAUGGGCAGUUGAUUUAUGAUGUGGACAGCAGUAUGAAAAGCCUCUGUCCAAAGGCUGGUUGGCACAUUGACGUCAUGCAUCAUGCUCAAAGUUGUUUGUAUAAUAUGUCAGCAUUUUCAUUCGGCUAUCCCAUUUUGCUGAGGAGUAUGGGGGCAAGAUAUUUGUCUAGUUAUCCCAUUAUUUCGAAGAUAUUCAGUAAAAUCUUGGGAGAGAUGUUCUUCUCCACCAUCAUACUGAAAAUGCACAAUAUUACAUGAGUAUUUGUUUCAAAUUUGGGUCUGAAAGUCUUGGAAAAGUUUGAAGACUUCAGAUAUAUGCUUCAUACAAUGUAUCCAAGUAUAACAUGAGAAGGAAUCUACAAAAAUAAUAUGGUAAUGGCUGCCAGACAAUGAAGGAAUUGGGGUAGGUCCCCAUACACUAGAAUGAAUACUCUCAAAAGGUUUAGAAGCACCCUUAUUCAAAAUAUGAAAUAGAAGAACAUAACUCUUACAAAGUUGUCAACUUGAACACUUGUUGACUUUUGAGACAGACUCUAAACUAGACCUUGGAAUAAGAUCAUCUACAAUAAGUUUAUCAAUAAAAUUUUGACUACUAUGACCUAAAUCGGGCUUAUUACAUUGAAACAAAUUCAAGACAUCUGGACUCUGAACUUGCAGUUGAGAAGAUAAAUAAGACUAGAGAAGGAAUUGUUGAGCCAAUCGAAGAAGUGACUAUGGCCUAGGAUACAGGAGCUUCCUUGAAAACGUACAUAUUUCCUUAUCUCUCUCCCUUAGUGAACGUCUUUUCGUUUGAAGGUCCUUGACAUACACAGAAGAAGGAGUGAAUUCAAUAGAAGAAUAUGUAUCGUCAACAAGUUUAGAUACAAGAACAAUGUUUUUCUUUAUAUUUGGGAAAAGUAGAACAUUGGACAAGGAUAACAAAGAAUUUGGCAGAGGAAUUUGUGCAUUUCCAGUAUGAGCAAUGGAAUGAUAUUCUCCUGUGACAAUAGAUCCUCUUUAAGGGAAUAAAUUAGAUAAUUUACUUGCAUCUCUAGUGAUGUGUGUGGCAACCCCAAAGCCUAUGUACCAUUGUCCUUGAUCAUUUUGUUUGAAAUGCAUCCUUGAAAAGGCUGUCAUAAGUAUUGCUGCACAUCAUUUGACACGGAUUUAGAAGGCUACCCUUGUGUUGUCUGCAAUCCUCCCUACUUGUUCUCUUGUUUAUGUCUUUUUCUUAUUUUGUGGAUUGUACCAACAAUCUGCCUUACCAUGACCUUUCUUGUUGCAUAGGAAACAAGUGGAAGUGAUUCUCGGUCCUUGGAGGGAUAUCAGGAGUUGGUAAAAUUCCUCUACCACCCUGAUCAAAAUGACCAUGCCCUCGUCCUCCUUGAUAUAUAUAAUCAAGGCAUUAAUAGAUUCAAACUCAAAUAAUGGGGAAG